rnacentral:rRNA from 1 species
UACGGAGGAUCCAAGCGUUAUCCGGAUUCAUUGGGUUUAAAGGGUGCGUAGGCGGAAUGAUAAGUCAGUGGUGAAAUCCUGCAGCUUAACUGCAGAACUGCCAUUGAUACUGUCAAUCUUGAGUACAUUUGAUGUGGGCGGAAUGUGUCAUGUAGCGGUGAAAUGCUUAGAUAUGACACAGAACACCGAUUGCGAAGGCAGCUCACAAAACUGUAACUGACGCUGAGGCACGAAAGCGUGGGGAUCAAACAGG